rnacentral:lncRNA from 1 species
GCACAGUGAGAUUGGAUAGAGGAAGGGGAUGUUGGACAGGAUGCGGUGAUUCAAUAUGUCAAAGAGUAUUUCCUCUGAAUGGUGUUGAUGCCCACCCCCUGUGAAUUGUCUCACUGUCUGAGGUGAAACCUUUCCUUCAGAAACUCAGUGGGCUCCUCUCCAUUCUACUCUCUGCUCCUUUCCCCCUUUCAUCAAUUGAAGGAUGAGGAGGACAAGAUGGACGGAUACCUGUGGAUGACAGCAAUUCUCCUGGCGUUCUGGGGUGAUGUGUUCACUGCACAAUCCCAGGCACCCAACUGCCAAGCAAGAACGAAGUACAUCCAGCAUGUGGUUCCACACAGCCAAGUAUCCAUCGCCUGCCCCAACUUGACCGGGGAUGAUCUCAGGUUCCAUCUACUGGGUUCCGUGCACGAGAACAGCGUUAAAAUUCACACCACGGUGCUCAAAAAGACUAAGGAGCAGAACCGAAACCACACCGGAACCAAUCGUCAAGAAAGCUUUGUCCAGUUCGGGCAGGUUGAACCGGCCCUGAACCAGAACCUGUCCAACAGCUACGUGUUCACAGUCAAUGGAACAGGCCUGUACAGCUGCAAGGCAGAGAGAAUGUGGCCUCCACCAUAUAAAGAGGACACUGUUGAGACUAUGCUGAUUGAAGGGGAAUGUCAGAACCACCAAGUUCCACAGGAAAAUCCGAUUUGCCCGGAGGAUCUCAAGCCACUCCUCCUGUGGCUGUUAUUGGUGGGAUGUGGUGUACUUUUUUUCUACAGCGUCAUCAUCACGAUUAUCACCAUCUUCGUCACAAGGAAACUGAAGAAGAAAAAAUCUGAAAAUAAUAUUUAUAUGAAUGUGACGCCUGCUGAGAUGAAAGGACAGAAGAGAGUCCAGAAACCGGCCAUUAGGAGAUAA